rnacentral:rRNA from 1 species
UACGGAGGGGGCUAGCGUUGUCCGGAAUUAUUGGGCGUAAAGAGCUCGUAGGCGGUUUGUUGCGUCGGCCGUGAAAACCUGCAGCUUAACUGUGGGCCUGCGGCCGAUACGGGCAGACUUGAGUUCGGUAGGGGAGACUGGAAUUCCUGGUGUAGCGGUGAAAUGCGCAGAUAUCAGGAGGAACACCGAUGGCGAAGGCAGGUCUCUGGGCAUUAACUGACGCUGAGGAGCGAAAGCAUGGGGAGCGAACAGG